rnacentral:rRNA from 1 species
GACGAACGCUGGCGGCGUGCUUAACACAUGCAAGUCGAACGGAAAGGCCCCUUUGGUGGUACUCGAGUGGCGAACGGGUGAGUAACACGUGAGUAACCUGCCCUUGACUUCGGGAUAACUUCAGGAAACUGGGGCUAAUACCGUAUAGGAAUCCUUGCUGCAUGGUGGGGGUUGGAAAGCUUCGGCGGUUUUGGAUGGACUCGCGGCUUAUCAGCUUGUUGGUGGGGUAGUGGCUUACCAAGGCUUUGACGGGUAGCCGGCCUGAGAGGGCGACCGGCCACAUUGGGACUGAGAUACGGCCCAGACUCCUACGGGAGGCAGCAGUGGGGAAUAUUGCACAAUGGGCGGAAGCCUGAUGCAGCAACGCCGCGUGCGGGAUGACGGCCUUCGGGUUGUAAACCGCUUUCAGCAGGGGCGAAGCUUGUGGUGACGGUACCUGAAGAAGAAGCACCGGCUAACUACGUG